rnacentral:rRNA from 1 species
GUACGGGGGGGGCAAGCGUUGUUCGGAAUUACUGGGCGUAAAGGGCUCGUAGGCGGCCAACUAAGUCAGACGUGAAAUCCCUCGGCUUAACCGGGGAACUGCGUCUGAUACUGGAUGGCUUGAGUUUGGGAGAGGGAUGCGGAAUUCCAGGUGUAGCGGUGAAAUGCGUAGAUAUCUGGAGGAACACCGGUGGCGAAGGCGGCAUCCUGGACCAACACUGACGCUGAGGAGCGAAAGCCAGGGGAGCAAACGGG